CCACUGCCAUUCUGGCACAAAGCAAAUGGUUGCAUUUAUAUAUAUAUAUAUAUAUAUAUAUAUAUAUAUAUAUAUAUAUAUAUAUAUAUAUAUAUAUAUAUAUAUAUAUAAAUGCAACCAUUUGCUUUGUGCCAGAAUGGCAGUGG